rnacentral:rRNA from 1 species
UCUGGAAAGGCGCGCGAUACAGGGUGACAGCCCCGUACACAAAAAUGCACAUGCUGUGAGCUCGAUGAGUAGGGCGGGACACGUGGUAUCCUGUCUGAAUAUGGGGGGACCAUCCUCCAAGGCUAAAUACUCCUGACUGACCGAUAGUGAACCAGUACCGUGAGGGAAAGGCGAAAAGAACCCCGGCGAGGGGAGUGAAAAAGAACCUGAAACCGUGUACGUACAAGCAGUGGGAGCACGCUUAGGCGUGUGACUGCGUACCUUUUGUAUAAUGGGUCAGCGACUUAUAUUCUGUAGCAAGGUUAACCGAAUAGGGGAGCCGAAGGGAAACCGAGUCUUAACUGGGCGUUAAGUUGCAGGGUAUAGACCCGAAACCCGGUGAUCUAGCCAUGGGCAGGUUGAAGGUUGGGUAACACUAACUGGAGGACCGAACCGACUAAUGUUGAAAAAUUAGCGGAUGACUUGUGGCUGGGGGUGAAAGGCCAAUCAAACCGGGAGAUAGCUGGUUCUCCCCGAAAGCUAUUUAGGUAGCGCCUCGUGAAUUCAUCUCCGGGGGUAGAGCACUGUUUCGGCAAGGGGGUCAUCCCGACUUACCAACCCGAUGCAAACUGCGAAUACCGGAGAAUGUUAUCACGGGAGACACACGGCGGGUGCUAACGUCCGUCGUGAAGAGGGAAACAACCCAGACCGCCAGCUAAGGUCCCAAAGUCAUGGUUAAGUGGGAAACGAUGUGGGAAGGCCCAGACAGCCAGGAUGUUGGCUUAGAAGCAGCCAUCAUUUAAAGAAAGCGUAAUAGCUCACUGGUCGAGUCGGCCUGCGCGGAAGAUGUAACGGGGCUAAACCAUGCACCGAAGCUGCGGCAGCGACGCUGAUGCGUUGUUGGGUAGGGGAGCGUUCUGUAAGCCUGCGAAGGUGUGCUGUGAGGCAUGCUGGAGGUAUCAGAAGUGCGAAUGCUGACAUAAGUAACGAUAAAGCGGGUGAAAAGCCCGCUCGCCGGAAGACCAAGGGUUCCUGUCCAACGUUAAUCGGGGCAGGGUGAGUCGACCCCUAAGGCGAGGCCGAAAGGCGUAGUCGAUGGGAAACAGGUUAAUAUUCCUGUACUUGGUGUUACUGCGAAGGGGGGACGGAGAAGGCUAUGUUGGCCGGGCGACGGUUGUCCCGGUUUAAGCGUGUAGGCUGGU